UUUCCGGUUGAUCCCGCCGGACCUGACUGCUAUCGGAUUGAUACUAAGCCAUGCGAGUCUUUGUAGUAAUACAAGGCAUACGGCUCAGUAACGCGUAGUCAACCUACCCUAUGGACAAGAAUAAUCUCGGGAAACUGAGCAUAAUUCUUGAUAGAUCAUAAUGCCAGGAAUGGUUUAUGGUUAAAAUGAUUCGUCGCCAUAGGAUGGGACUGCGGCCUAUCAGCUUGUUGGUGAGGUAAUGGCCCACCAAGGCGAUUACAGGUACGGGCUCUGAGAGGAGAAGCCCGGAGAUGGGUACUGAGACAAGGACCCAGGCCCUAUGGGGCGCAGCAGGCGAGAAAACUUUGCAAUGUGCGAAAGCACGACAAGGUUAGUCCGAGUGAUUUCUGCUAAAGAGAUCUUUUGCUAGUUAUAAAACCACUAGUGAAUAAGGGGUGGGCAAGUUCUGGUGUCAGCCGCCGCGGUAAAACCAGCACCUCAAGUGGUCAGGAUGAUUAUUGGGCCUAAAGCAUCCGUAGCCGGCUCUGUAAGUUUUCGGUUAAAUCUAUGCGCUCAACGUAUGGGCUGCCGAAAAUACUGUAGAGAUAGGGAGUGGGAGAGGUAGACGGUACUCGGUAGGAAGGGGUAAAAUCCUUUGAUCUAUCGAUGACCACCUGUGGCGAAGGCGGUCUACCAGAACACGUUCGACGGUGAGGGAUGAAAGCUGGGGGAGCAAACCGGAUUAGAUACCCGGGUAGUCCCAGCUGUAAACGAUGCAGACUCGAUGAUGCAUUGGCAUAUAGCCAGUGCAGUGUCGCAGGGAAGCCGUUAAGUCUGCCGCCUGGGAAGUACGUACGCAAGUAUGAAACUUAAAGGAAUUGGCGGGGGAGCACCACAAGGGGUGAAGCCUGCGGUUCAAUUGGAGUCAACGCCGGG
rnacentral:rRNA from 1 species